rnacentral:rRNA from 1 species
AUUGAACGCUGGCGGCAUGCCUUACACAUGCAAGUCGAACGGCAGCGCGGGAGCAAUCCUGGCGGCGAGUGGCGAACGGGUGAGUAAUAUAUCGGAACGUGCCCAGUAGUGGGGGAUAGCCCGGCGAAAGCCGGAUUAAUACCGCAUACGACCUACGGGUGAAAGGGGGGGAUCGCAAGACCUCUCGCUAUUGGAGCGGCAGAUAGAGGAUUAAGUAGUUGGUGGGGUAAAGGCCCACCAAGCCUACGAUCUGUAGUUGGUAGGAGUGGACGACCAGCCACACUGGGACUGAGACACGGCCCAGACUCCUACGGGAGGCAGCAGUGGGGAAUUUUGGACAAUGGGGGCAACCCUGAUCCAGCAAUGCCGCGUGCAGGAAGAAGGCCUUCGGGUUGUAAACUGCUUUUGUCAGGGAAGAAAUCCCUUGGGUUAAUACCUCGGGGGGAUGACGGUACCUGAAGAAUAAGCACCGGCUAACUACGUGCCAGCCGCCGCGGUAACAC